rnacentral:rRNA from 1 species
GACGAACGCUGGCGGCGUGCUUAACACAUGCAAGUCGAACGGAAAGGCCCUGCUUUUGUGGGGUGCUCGAGUGGCGAACGGGUGAGUAACACGUGAGUAACCUGCUCCUGACUUUGGGAUAACUUCAGGAAACUGGGGCUAAUACCGGCUAGGAGCUCCUGCUGCAUGGUGGGGGGUGGAAAGUUUCGGCGGUUGGGGAUGGACUCGCGGCUUAUCAGCUUGUUGGUGGGGGAGUGGCUUCCCAAGGGUUUGACAGGUAGCCGGCCUGGGAGGGUGACCGGCCACAUUGGGACUGCGGUACGGCGCAGUCUCCUACGGGAGGCAGCGGUGGGGAGUAUUGCACAACGGGCGGGAGCCUGUUGCGGCAGCGCCGCGUGCGGGAUGCCGGCCUUCGGGUUGUGAACCGCUUUCGCCUGAGACGAAGCGUGAGUGACGGUAAUGGGUAAAGAAGCACCGGCUAACUACGUG